rnacentral:pre_miRNA from 1 species
UGCGUAGGCGUUGUGCACAGUGAUGUGUGGCCCGGUUCCUGUGCAUCUCUCCCACGCAUA